rnacentral:rRNA from 1 species
UUAGAGUUUGAUCAUGGCUCAGAACGUACGCUGGCGGCACGCCUAACACAUGCAAGUCGAACGAAGUAGCAAUACUUAGUGGCAGACGGGUGAGUAACAUGUAGGUAUCUGCCCUUUGGCCUGGAAUAACACGAGGAAACUUGUGCUAAUACCGGAUAAGUCUUUACGGAGAAAGCUUUAUGCACCAUUGGAUGAGCCUGCACUUGACUAGUUUGUUGGUGGGGUAAUGGCCUACCAAGACUGUGAUCAAUAGCUGAUUUGAGAGGAUGAUCAGCCACAUUGGGACUGAGACACGGCCCAAACUCCUACGGGAGGCAGCAGUGGGGAAUCUUGCACAAUGGAGGAAACUCUGAUGCAGCGAUGCCGCGUGAGUGAAGAAGGCCCUUGGGUUGUAAAGCUCUUUCGUCGGGGAAGAAAAUGACUGUACCCGAAUAAGAAGGUCCGGCUAACUUCGUGCCAGCAGCCGCGGUAAUACGAAGGGACCUAGCGUAGUUCGGAAUUACUGGGCUUAAAGAGUUCGUAGGUGGUUGAAAAAGUUGGUGGUGAAAUCCCAGUGCUUAACUCUGGAACUGCCAUCAAAACUUUUCAGCUAGAGUAUGAUAGAGGAAAGCAGAAUUUCUAGUGUAGAGGUGAAAUUCGUAGAUAUUAGAAAGAAUACCAAUUGCGAAGGCAGCUUUCUGGAUCAUUACUGACACUGAGGAACGAAAGCAUGGGUAGCGAAGAGGAUUAGAUACCCUCGUAGUCCAUGCCGUAAACGAUGUGUGUUAGACGUUGGAAAUUUAUUUUCAGUGUCGCAGCGAAAGCGAUAAACACACCGCCUGGGGAGUACGACCGCAAGGUUAAAACUCAAAUGAAUUGACGGGGACCCGCACAAGUAGUGGAGCAUGUGGUUUAAUUCGAAGAUACGCGCAGAACCUUACCAACACUUGACAUGUUCGUCGCGACUUUAAGAGAUUAAAGUUUUCGGUUCGGCCGGACGAAACACAGGUGCUGCAUGGCUGUCGUCAGCUCGUGUCGUGAGAUGUUGGGUUAAGUCCCGCAACGAGCGCAACCCUCACUUUUAGUUGCCAUCAUUUAGUUGGGCACUCUGAAAGAACUGCCAGUGAUAAGCUGGAGGAAGGUGGGGAUGACGUCAAGUCCUCAUGGCCCUUACGUGUUGGGCUACACACGUGCUACAAUGGUAUCUACAACAGGAAGCAAAACUGCGAGGUUAAGCAAAUCCUUAAAAGAUACCUCAGUUCGGAUUGCACUCUGCAACUCGAGUGCAUGAAGCUGGAAUUACUAGUAAUCGUGGAUCAGCGUGCCACGGUGAAUGCGUUCCC